rnacentral:lncRNA from 1 species
UGAAAAGGAGAAAAGAAUAAUAGGAAAUAAACAAAACAAUUGAGCAUAAACAGUAUGAAUGUCAUCUUUAAUACACAAAAAUUGAAAUUCAGAUAUCAAUAAGAAGAAUAAUAACAAUCAAACUGCUACAUCUAAAUUACUAUCUCAGAGAUUUGAUUGACUAGCAGCAAUAUUAUGUACAUCUUCUAAUUUUCCAUUUAUAAAACAGAUGCACAGUAUGCCAACUAAUUUAGUUGGUUAAGUCACUAUUUUUCGGUAUCAGUGACUUGGGUUCAAGACCUGUGUUGCCCAAGGUGACAACCCAAGAGGGGGGGUGAAUUGGGUUUUCUAAAAAUUAUGUUCUCUAAUUUUUACUUUGAAUUGAAUGCAGCGGAAUGAUAAGAUGUUAUUUACUUAAGCUCUAGGCAAUUACAAGUAAAGCAGUGGAAAAUUAAGCUAGAGCAAUUAUACUAUGGCUUUAGGGUGCAAUUGAUCUAAAAUUAACUUAUAGUUGUAUGAUCAAUUUUAAUCUAUGUGUAUGGUAAGAAUGGAGUGGAAGCUAAGCAAAUUCUAAACAAUCACUUAUAACUCUAUAAAAAACAAAAGCUAGAGAUAUUACACAAUCAAGUAUGAACGUAAGGCAUGAAAUACAAGAGAUAAGGCAUCACAAAUAUAAAGAUGUAUAGUGGUUCGGUGCACCCCAGCACCUACAUCCACUUCCCAAGAUCUCUUGGGAAUUUCACUAUAAUCCCCUAGAUUACAGCCGGUUGUUUUACAAGCUCACAACCUAACUUGUUG